rnacentral:sRNA from 1 species
GUGUAAUGGAAUGCAAAAAAGCCAAGCCCUCCGCCUAGAGCUGCCGGUACCAGCCUGACUAGGUGCAGGCAAGCUUGUGUGGGCCCAACAGACCCCUGGUAGAGCUGGUGCCAGAUGUGGGCUCAGAUCCUGGGCAUGAUGGGCCGAGCCACCUCGGAUCCCACUGAUUGGCCAGCCGAGCGAGAACCAGGCUGCUGCAUGGCACUGACCGCCGCUUCCAGCUUCCUCUGAGCCGCAGGGCCUGCUACGCGGGCAAGCGUGCUGCCUCUCUUCUCUUCUGUGUUGUUUUGUUGCCAAGGCAGAAUGAAAAGUCCUUAACCGUGGACUCUUCCUUUAUCCCCUUUUAUCCCUUCCUUUACCCCACAUAUGCAAUGACUUUUAAUUUUCACUUUUGUAGUUUAAUCCUUUGUAUUACAACAUGAAAUAUAGUUGCAUAUAUGGACACCGACUUGGGAGGACAGGUCCUGAAUGUCCUUUCUCCAGUGUAACAUGUUUUACUCACAAAUAAAAUUCUUUCAGCAA